rnacentral:rRNA from 1 species
GAGGCCUUUUGGCNGAGGGACGCCUGCCUGGGCGUCACG